UGGGCCUGUUAAACCUAGGCUCCGUAGGGUGCCAGUUCAGGGGCUGCCUGGUUGUCGUCAGCUCGUGCCGUGAGGUGUUGGCUUAAGUGCCGCAACGAGCGCAACCCCUGUCCUUAGUUGCCAGCGCGUAAUGGCGGGGACUCUAAGGAGACUGCCGGGGACAACUCGGAGGAAGGUGGGGAUGACGUCAAGUCAGCAUGGCCCUUAUGUCCAGGGCUGCACACAUGCUACAUUGCGCGCCACAGAGGGCUGCAAUCCCGCGAGGGGGAGCGAAUCCCAAAAAAGCGCGCCUGGUUCCAUUGCAGUCUGCACUCGACUGCAUGAAGUCGGAGUUCUAGUAAUCGCAAAUCCCAACGCUGCGGUGAAUACGUUCCCGGGUCUUGUACACACGC
rnacentral:rRNA from 1 species